rnacentral:tRNA from 1 species
GGGCUUGUGGCGCAGUAUGGAUAGCGUGGUAGCCUCCUAAGGUACAGGUCGAGGGAUCGAAGCCCUCCAAGCCCG